rnacentral:lncRNA from 1 species
CGAUUCUUCUUCUGAAGAAAAUAAGGAACUUAGCCAAUGAGAAGCAAAGGAUGCUCGAAUACUCUCUUGGAUUCUAGGAUCUAUUGAAGUUCAUAUGGUGAAUAACUUAAGUUCAUUUGGUACGGCUAAAGAAAUGUGGGAAUAUCUUAAGCGCAUAUACUAUCAAGAUAAUACUACGGUUUUCAACUACAGCUCAAGAUUGGCAACUACAAUCAAGGUAAUCGCACCAUUAAGUAGUAUUAUUCUGGGUUUCUUAAUCUAUGGAGUAAAUAUUCUAGUCUUAUCUACAUUAAGGUACCUAAACAGGCCCUAGCCGUCCUUUAGGUAGUCCAUGAUGUUAGUAGGCGUGAUCAGUUCCUGAUGAAACUGAGACCUGAAUUUGAAGUUGCUCGGGCUGAAUUGUUGAAUAGAGAUCCGGUUCCUUCUUCGGAUGUGUGUCUUGCUGAGUUGUUAUGUAAGGAAUAGAGAAUGGCUACACAAGCUACUAUAGGCGCGACCAAUGAGAUCUCGAAGGUGACAAAUGUUGCAUACGCUGCUCAAGGGAAGAAUCGAGGAAAAGAAAAAUGUAAUGUUAUAGUUGCAAGGAGUUCGGGCAUAUUGCUAGUAAUUUCGGUAAGAAAUUUUCCAAUUAGUAAGCAGAAUGGACGCAUUAUCAAGAAAUGCCCAACAAAUCCAGAAACCAGCAAGUUCAAGCCUUUCAAGGAGAUGUUCCAGACCCUAACAUUGUAUGUCCUCUAUCUGUGACCAUUAGCACCAAUCAACAUGUCCUUACUCAGAAAUGGUUCAACGUGAUUAUCUCAACAUUUUUCGCUCUUGGUCUUCAGGGCUAAGUUAAAUACGUCUCUUCCUUGGAUUGUUGAUUCUGAGCAUCUAAUCAUAUGUCUAGCUCUUUUUAUUCAUUACAUAAUCUACGGAAGUAUACUGUUACACAAAACAUUCAUGUUGCAAAUGGAAGUAGUCUUCCAAUUAAAGCCAUUGAUGAUAUUGGACCUUCUUGCAGUUAUGUUUUUGUCUCUCCCGGGUUGUUUACUAGUUUGAUUUCUAUUGGUCAAUUGGUGGAUUAUAACUACAAAUUACAUUUCUCUCGUGGUGGUUGUCUUGUGUAGGAUCAAUUGUCGAGGAAGGUGAUCGCGAUGAGAUCUAAAGUGGG